AUUAACUUGGGUGGAAUAAUAAAACAUUGGUGAAGAGCAUAGUAUCAAAAGAAUACUCCUAGUAAGAAAGGUACUACUCUAUUGGUCUGUCCCUGUUCAUAAAUGGUUUGAGAAUGAAGCUUAAUGACUGCUUUGCUUCCAUACCUAUAUAGAGGUGAUAAAGGUGAGCUUCUUUCUUGUAUUGCAGAUCAGAAAUUAACGGAGUCUGAAGCAGACAAGUGAGGACGUACAAAAAGAGGUAUAAGGUGAAUCCACAAGCAUUAUGAAAGAAAUGGUUGCUUACAUUAUGGAAACAGGGAUGGCUACAAGCUUGUCAAAAGGGUUGUGAAGAAUAAUUUUUAGAUGUUUGUGAUCAGUUGUACAAUAAAUAAAUAAUUUUCUAGCUCUCUUUAAAAGAGAGAGAACUUUCUAGCUCUCUCUUUAAAAGAGAGAGAAACUAGUCAUGUUUGUGGACGUCCCACAUUUCUCUUUGGCUUCCUUGUCAAAAGGAUCCUCUCCCAAAUAUAUGUAGAUAUAAGACCUGCACAGUACUGCACUCACAAAGAACAAUUUUUUUGGUUAAAUUCAAUACUGGCCAAAUGCAUAGCAUGUAAAUUCUCACAUCCCAAGGACCAAGGACUUGCUUGAUGGAAUGCUGAUCUAGUGAUCAAUAGGGAUUUAAAAAGGGUAUCAGAUUCUGUAUUUGCAUAGGACUCUACAAUUUCUCUAUGUUACACUCAUUGACACAUCAGUAUUACAGUUUUUUCUAAGUUUCAGCUGAAAAGGGACC